CGCAUUCUCCAGUUUUCAAGGAACGGGUCUCUCGUAGAGCCGCUCAUUCCAUUCCAUUUGGGCAUUUGGCGCUAUUCUUUCUCGAGCUUCUCGGCGGCGUCAAGCGCAAUCCAAACCAAGCCUCCGCGCCAUGAGUCUCAAAUCUCCAAUUCAUCAAUUUUGCACUCCUAGAUUCGAGAUUGCCCGGACAAGUUUUGGUCGAAAUGGAGUUGUUUCGCGGUCAGGCGUCCGAUAUUUCCGCCUAAAGAGCAAUCGAAUAUUCAUUUCAUGCUGCGCUUCUCCAAUUCAUGAAGUUGCUGGGAGGAGCAUUGCUCCAAUUUCGCAGAAUGAAGAAGAGGAGGAGGAAGAAGAAGGGCAUUUGGACGUAGCCGAGAAAGUGGAGUUGGUCAAAGGAAUCUCUGAGGCUGAGGCAUCCUCGGAGAACGAGAGCUUGUGGAGUCAGAUGGUCGAAAUUGCCAAAUUUUCAGGUCCAGCGGUGGGGCUUUGGAUUUGCGGUCCGAUGAUGAGUUUAAUUGACACUGCUGUUGUUGGUCAGGGGAGCUCAACUGAGCUUGCUGCUCUAGGGCCAGGGACAGUGUUAUGUGAUAAUACAAGUUAUGUUUUUAUGUUUCUUUCCAUUGCUACUUCAAAUUUGGUGGCUACAUCUCUCGCCAGGCAGGAUAGAAAUGAGGUGCAGCAUCAGAUAUCUAUGUUGCUGUUUAUUGGAUUGGCUUGUGGUUUUCUGAUGCUUUUUUGUACAAGGUUAUAUGGUCAGUGGGCAUUAACAGCAUUUACAGGGGCAAAGAAUGCCGAAAUCAUAACCGCAGCUAACACGUAUGUCCAGAUUCGAGGCUUAGCAUGGCCAGCAAUACUAGUUGGAUGGGUUGCUCAAAGUGCAAGCUUAGGAAUGAAAGAUUCCUGGGGACCCUUAAAGGCAUUGGCAGCUGCAAGUGUUAUUAAUGGCAUUGGUGACAUAGUGCUAUGCAGGUUCUUGGAUUAUGGUAUUGCUGGGGCAGCAUGGGCAACAAUGGUAUCUCAGGUUGUUGCAGCUUACAUGAUGGUUGAAGCUUUGAACAGUAAGGGAUAUAAUGGCUAUGCCAUCACUGUUCCAUCACCUAAUGAGCUCCUACAAAUAUUCUCACUUGCAGCUCCAGUAUUUGUAACAAUGAUGUCAAAGGUGGCAUUUUACUCUCUUCUUGUAUAUUUUGCUACAUCAAUGGGUACAAAAACUGUUGCUGCCCAUCAGGUUAUGAUACAAGUGUACUGCAUGUGUACGGUAUUUGGUGAGCCCCUUUCACAAACAUCCCAGUCAUUUAUGCCUGAGCUGAUAUGUGGAGUGAAUCAAAACCUAGCUAAGGCCCGAACAUUGCUUAAAUCACUGGUCAUUAUUGGUGCGGCAAGUGGACUGAUAUUAGGAUGUAUUGGUACUUCAGUUCCUUGGCUAUUCCCUAAAAUAUUUUCACCUGAUCUUGAGGUCAUACAGGAGAUGCACAAGGUGCUUAUACCUUUCUUCCUUGCUCUGUGCAUCACACCCAGUACUCACAGCCUUGAGGGCACAUUAAUGGCCGGACGAGACUUGAAAUUCCUGAGCAUGUCUAUGGGUGGGAUCUUCUGCUUGGGCUCCCUUGUCCUUCUGCUGGCGAGCAGUCGAGCUUACAGUUUAUCUACUUGUUGGUUUACUCUUGUGGCAUUUCAAUGGUCCCGAUUCCUUGUUGCCUUGCGCCGCCUCACCUUGCGAAACGGGAUACUUUACAAUGAAAAUGCAACAAAUCAUAAGUUGAAAUCUGCAUAGCGGGACUCGAAAAGCUUGGUCGGUCUAUGUGUGUUGUGUUUUUUAACUCACAAAAGGCCAUUCAGCUGCAAUGCAAGCAUGGUUCGGCCGGAGUUUAUCCAGUGCGCACUUUCAAGUAGCGGCUGCGGGUUCCGACGUUAUAAAAGAAAAUAAGUAUAUAUUGUAAAUAUGAAUAUUAUAGAAAUAAACAAAUAAAAAUAUUAAUUAUAAAAAUAACAAAUAAAAAUAUUAAUUACUCCGAUUAUUAAUAACUAUUUUGUAUAUUAUAUAUUUAUUAUGUAGUAAGUGUUGGCAGAGUUGUAUAUAUAAAUAUAUUAUAUUUAUAUAAAUAUAUGUAUACGUAUGUAUAUAGGCAAUGUUUAUAAGUGUUUGUAUAGAUGAAUGUAGGAGAAUUGAAUGCAUCACCGUAUAAUGUAUACGCAGAUAUUAUGUAC